UUACAAAAAAAAGCUUUUAGGAAAAUGGCAUCCUCAGUUGGAUGGCAUUUUCUCCUUCACGCUGCAGCAGAAGCCCUUCGGCCCAAUCCCACCACAGCAGGCUUUAGACAGAUCCAAACCAUGGAUUGCACACAGUGCUUGGCACGACUUAUCCGCGCAGUCUUCCAAAGGGUAACAUAGGUAUGCGAGCUCUGCAGAUCAUGCACAGCAAAGACAACAACCAGUUAGCUAGUAUACAUACUGCACUAGAUCUUUUUUAUUUGUUGGAACAUGAAAAUAUAUGAGUACAAUAAUAAAAGGAUUAUUUGCGACAAGGAAAUAAAAAUACCUUUGCUGCACUUUGCUGCUGCUGCUUGGCAAGACCAAAAACUGGUGCACAUGACCAGUAGAGCUACCAAACACAUAGCCUUCUUGUUGUUGCUGAUAAACGCCAUCAUCAGUUAGCCUUCCUUUUCUUCCUUGUUGUUCUAAUCUUAUAUGCCACCAAGUACAACAAUAUUCUUUUUCUAUGUGUUUAUUUAGAUGCAUGUGAC
rnacentral:lncRNA from 1 species